UUUUCUCUCUGUGAAUUAUAAGAGGUUAAGCCCCAGACACCACUGGAAUGUCAUUCUCGUGACUAUAUUGAAGUUGAGAGGUUCUGCAGCUGCAGACUAUCCCGAACUUCAAUAUAUCUUUGCAUACAUUUAAUUCACUAACCAAAGUUUUUGACUCUGUUUAUAUCGUUUCAGUUUAAUGGUUCGUCUACAGUUCCACGUUCAAGGCCUUCUUCUGGAUAAAGUUUAAUAGUUCAUCUACGGAUCCACGUUCGGUUUCUGGUUCUGGAUGAAGGUCAUUGGUUG